rnacentral:lncRNA from 1 species
UAAGGAUAUUGUUUUUCAAGAUACUAUCAACAUAGAAGAGAUCUUUUAAGAGGGAGAAGAGUUUUUCAAUCAAGGAAAUGAAACCAGUAAAACAUUUUCUCAAGAUUUUUCUGACUAUAAAAUGUUAAGCUUCCUUCGUUUUGUUGUAAGAGUGACAGCACAGUGGGUCAGAGGAUAGAUCUUAGACUUCAUCGUCAGAAUUCUUGAUCAUCUAUAACUGGCCUAUUCCCUGGUGGAUUCCAGUCAAGUGUCUACAUUUCUGAUUUCCAUUCUUCUUAUAGUCUAUGGUAGUUUCAGGUCCCUUAAUAUGGACUUUGAAAAUCAAGAUAAGGAGAAAGACAGUAAUAGUUCUUCUGGGUCUUUCAAUGGCAACAGCACCAAUAAUAGCAUCCAAACAAUUGACUCUACCCAGGCUCUGUUCCUUCCAAUUGGAGCAUCUGUCUCUCUUUUAGUAAUGUUCUUCUUCUUUGACUCAGUUCAAGUAGUUUUUACAAUAUGUACAGCAGUUCUUGCAACGAUAGCUUUUGCUUUUCUUCUCCUCCCGAUGUGCCAGUAUUUAACAAGACCCUGCUCACCUCAGAACAAGAUUUCCUUUGGUUGCUGUGGACGUUUCACUGCUGCUGAGUUGCUGUCAUUCUCUCUGUCUGUCAUGCUCGUCCUCAU